rnacentral:misc_RNA from 1 species
AAGUCGUAACAAGGUUUCCGUAGGUGAACCUGCGGAAGGAUCAUUAACACGUAUCCAAACGUUAAAACCCCCCCCGUGAACCUUUAUGAGUGCGCACCGUCGGGUAUCCCGAGUCGUAGUGUAUGGUAAAUCAUGGGUAGAGUUGGGGUUCUCUCAACAGGCUACAUUAUUGAUUCAAUGACUACGAUUAGCUGACGGAGUCGCGAGCUCGAAGCAGCAGCGGCCCAAGCAAUAACUUGUCUGAAAGUGUCAUUUAUUGGGCAAGGAUAGCGCUUCUACGAUUCCUGUAGACCGUACACUCGGGCAGGAGCUUGGCCAAAGGGUCCCCAUGCCCCCUAAUAACCCCACAGUUUAAUGUGAAGCUCAAUGUAAUACAUUGGGUAAAAAAACCGAACAACUGUUAACAAUGGAUAUCUUGGUUCUC